UGCCUUAUUUUGGAUCAACAUAUCAACAAUGUAAAUUAUAUACUCAUCAGGGGCUUUCUGUUUAAAAAUCUAAUUCUAAGUCUCACAUCGCUUCCAGAUAAAAUAUCCUUGAAGGCCAAACAGGUACAGUGAGGGUGUGGCAGGAGAUAUCUGGACUUCAUAUAAUUUAUUCCAAUUGUGCUGUCUGUCUAGUAUAAUGGGCAAUGUAUAUUGCUUGUUUACAUUACUUACCCUGGCUUUAUCUGGACUCUGGUCACUGUUUGGCUGUGUCAAUUGCAUCAUACUUUUAAACUAAUCCUCUAUGCAUUUAGUCAAGAAUUCAAAGUUGUUUACAUAUGUUUACUUCUUAUUAUACAAUGCAUGUCUACCCCUGUGAGCCAAGGAGGUUUGUGUGUGGUUGUUUAAAUGUUGGACACCUGUUAGAAUUUUACAAUAACAUGCAUUUUUAAUAAUUAAGUAGACAAUAACAAAAUAAUAUUGAGAAAUUGUAAGUGGAGUGGGCAUUACAGAUAGAGAAUUAAAAAAUAAUCCUGUUUUUUCUAUUUUAGGUUUUAAUUAAGAGGUGUCAAAAGUUUAGUAAUUUCUAUACCAACAAAACUCAAAAAGUCAAAAUCAUUUAACAUGUACUUCCCAUAAUACUUGGCAGUCAGACACAAUUGUUUUACCUCAGUAUUUCAAAUACCUCAAUUUCACUUAGUUUGUGUAAACUGAAAAUAUCAUUACAUAUAGCAAAAUUAUG